GUGCUGUCUCACUCCCAUAAGCACAGGCGCAGGUACGGCACUCGUUUGACAACACAAAGAACGCCUGGAGCCGAGCAAACAAACAGCUUGCUCUUUUAGUUCAGGCACUUUUUAUUGCUUCUAAACACGCUUGUCGUGUCUGUCAGUGAGAGUGCCUUUUAAUGUGGUCUUAAUAUCCGUUGGGUGAGUUGCUGUGUCAGUUGUUAGCUACCUGUCCCGUUAGGUGUGGAAGGAAGGAAGGAACGCACACAGGAAACGUUCCUCUGAAGUUCACUUACUGAACAGCUGCAGGGCAAACGCGUCUAGAUAAGGGUCUUUGGCGAUCAGUGGGAUGAUAGUGAAGCGGGUUGGAGUCUGGAUUGAAGGAGCAUGGUGAAGCACCAACCGUUACAGGUCUAUGAGAGACAGCUGUGUUUGUCAUGUCUAACCGGGAUCUACGGAUGCCGCUGGAAACGCUACCAGCGGUCACAUGAUGACACCACCAAGUGGGAGUGUUUGUGGUCUUUCAUUCUCUUCGGCACCUUCUCCUUGUUACUGGUAUGGUUUUACUUCUGGUGGGAGGCCCACAAUGACUACAGCGAGUUUAACUGGUUUUUAUAUAACCGUUCAGGGGAGUGGAGUGAUGGAACCGUUCCCAUAUUGGCUGCUACAGCAGCUGGUUUCACCUAUAUUGCAUUUUUAAUGAUUUUAGCCCUAUGCCAUGUAGCUGUUGGGCAGCAGUUAAACCUCCACUGGCUCCACAAGAUUGGUGUGACAGUUGCUUUGCUCACUACAAUAAUAGGUGUGAUAUCCGUAACUCAGAUGUGGGGAGAGGAAUGGGAUGUGGUUUGGAUUUCUCUUCAGGCUACUGGUCCUUUCCUGCACAUCGGCGCUUUAGCUGCUGUUACCGCUUUAGCCUGGCUGGUGGCUGGACAGGUGGCACGAGCAGAGAAAACCAGGUUUCAGGUGAUGGUUCUCCUCAUCUAUCUGAGUGUUCUCCUUACACUUUACUUCAUACCGCUGUCAGUCACCUCACCCUGUAUUAUGGAGCGUGGGAGUCUCAAAGCAGCACCCGCCAUCAUCGGCUAUCAAGGAGCUCCAAUGCUCGCUCCAGAGAACACUCUCCUAUCGUUCAACAGAGCUCUGCAGAGAAAUGUUAGCGGGUUGGAGGCGGAUGUGACCAUCAGUCUAGAUGGUGUGCCCUUCCUCAUGAGAGACCGGACGCUGAGGAGAACCACAAACGUGAGAAGAGUGUUCCCGGACAGGCAGUAUGAUGAUGCUUCAUUUUUCAACUGGACUGAUUUGAGCUCACUGAACGCUGGCCAGUGGUUUCUAAAGGAUGAUCCGUUCUGGACUGUGCAGUACAUGUCAGCGUCCGAGCGCUGGUCAGUUGGAAACCAGACCGUUUGCAGCUUGGAGCAGAUGCUGAAACUAGCGGCUAAGUCCAAGAGCUCAGCCGUAUUCACUCUGCACAGACCUCCAGCCAAUCACCCCCACCGCCACGACUGGGUCAACCUCACCCUGGACACUGUUCUGAGGUCAGGAAUACCACAGCGCCAGGUGAUGUGGACAGUGGACAGUAACAGGGAGACGGUGAGGAACGUGGCUCCAGGUUUACAGCAGACAUCUGUGCAGAAGCUGCCUCUCGACACACUCCAUCAUAUGGGCAUCAGCAGGGUGCUGCUGCGCUAUAACCAGGCCUCUGCGCAGGACGUCCGGCUGUAUAAUGAGAACAAUAUCAGUCUGACUCUGUAUUCGGUGAACGAGCCGUGGCUGUACUCCCUGCUGUGGUGCAGUGGGGUGCCGUCCGUCUCCUCCGAGGCCCCGCAGGUGCUGAGGAAGGUGCACUAUCCGCUCUGGCUCAUGAGUCCGGAUGAGUACUGCUUGAUAUGGAUCUCUACUGAUCUCAUUUCCUUUGCUGUAGUUCUGGGAAUAUUUAUAUUCCAGAACUAUCACAUGAUCAGGUGGAGAAUGAGCGGGAUGCGUAGCUACAACCCAGAGCAGAUCAUGCUGAGCGCAGCCGUCAGGAGAUCCAGCAGAGACGUCAACAUCAUGAAGGAGAAGCUCAUCUUCUCUGGUCAGCCACAGUAGCUGUCCACCUCCUGGGUUUGAGUCUGUGUCACCGUAUCCCUUCAUCCCAUUCCAUCGCAUUCCCUCCCCUCUCCUUCCUGUCUCUCACUGUCUACCACCAUCCCGUCUCUUCCCGCAUCCAUUCAUCCAUCAAUCCAUACUCCGCUGACACCCCACAGCUUGAAUGAUAGCUCAUGCAGGGCUGUAGCAUCAAUGGCCAGGGUAACUGUGGCCUGCACUCGAGGUGAGCAACGGAGUUACCAGCGAUGAACCCUAUACAGAAAAUGGAUUCAACUACUACACCAAUUAAGACGUUGCUCAUUGACUCAUGGAACAAAAAAACCCACAUCACAUCCUGAUCAAGCUUGUGGUGUCUCCUCUGAACUACUGACUCAACUCUUAGCCUACUGUUUCUGGUGGACCCGUGUGCAGAAAACUCUUCCACUGUUAAUUGCUUGUUUUAAAUUCUGGACAGUAAAGAGAAGUAGGAAGUGCGGUUCUUCUGUUGACUAUUACCAAAUCUGUGGCCUCUUCCCCUACGUAACGCUUGAGGAUCCUGGAAUGCCUGUUACUUGCUUCGUAUUGAAAGCAUGCCUGUGAUAAUAUAGUGGAUUUUAUCUGUCGGUUUUUGGGGAUUUUAUUUUUCUAAUCUUCCAUAGCCAGCCAAUGUGGAGUAUAACAUAUUAUGCCAGUUUUUUUUUUUUUUUUUCUUCCUAGACCUUGGUUUGGUGUGAUAUUCACAGUCUGUUGAUGCCUUCUGUUCAAACGGUUGUGCAUUUUAACAAUAAACAGGUGUUUAAAGAGUGCCUGCCUUUAGCCUUCAAGUUAUAUUUGCUGUAUUUAAUAUACCACCUAUUUAGCAUGUGGUUCAGUUGUCAUUUUGGAAGGAAAUCACCCAGCCUUAUUGUCAAGCAGGUAUGAUGCCAGAUGACAUGGAAUAUUUAUGUUUGGCGUGCAUAUCUGUGGUUUCAUUUGGGGAAACAACUAAACAACAAAAUCCCCUAGCUAGGUUAAAAUGGUGGAUUACAGAAACCAAAACUUCAAGAUUCAUUAAAAAAAGGGUCGGUGCAAAAUUAAGUUUAUAUUAAAGUUAUAUAGUUGAACACUGUUUAUAAAGGAAGCUGGCUUGGAGUUUCAAUGCUGUGCAAUAUUACUCGGACACUGUCCUAUAAUAAAAAGCGUGUUUGAAUAUUGUUCAGUGAUUUUUCUUUUUUUUUUAACUGUUACAUUGUCAUUUUAGUCUCAACCCUUUUGUUUGAGUAGCUUUUCAUGUAUUAAAUAUUUUGUACAGGGCUUCCAGUCGCUGAGAUGUCCUGACCCUUUACUUAAUAUUGUAAAUGUGAGAUGUGACAUUGUUUACAGUGGCUUGUGCUGUCACACAGAGGACGAGGCUGAACGAUUGUGCUGUUUGAUGUUUUUAUUUUGUAUUGAUGUGUUUCGGAGGUCGUUCAAUAAAAAAACCUGCAGUUUUAA